UGAGUAAUGCUCCUGAUGAACUGCUGAUUGACUGCAGCAGCACGUCCUGCGAUUUUCAAUCCAGUGGGGAACAUUUUUCUCGUGAAUAUAAAAAUAUUCAGUAUUUCACUCCAGACAAGAUGUUCUGCGACGUUUUCCUCCAGCGACCAGUGAUUCUAGUCGACAAGGCUCUCGUAGAGGGCAAAUUCUGCUUCGUGAUGAGCAGGAAACCUGACAACAUCGCUUUUUUGUUCUGUUUGCGCACGACGCAAAUGGGGCCCCGAGCGAGAGCCGUCAAUAUCACCGGAGUUAGCAUGUGGUGUUAUAUGUGUUUUGCAUUUUCAUCGAGUGGAAAAGGUAAAAUGGAAGCCUUAUCGUAACUCGCUGCGACAAUAUUUCCUCAUGGUAAAGCACACCAAGUCGUUGAGAGAAUUUUAGUCAACGUCGUGAGGGUGAAAUUGGAAAUUUCUAUCUGAUCGGGGGCCAGGAACUUUUUCACGAAAUGUCUGGUGAAUUUUUUAUUACCGGGAGAUUUGUGGAACUAUUGGCGAUUGGGGAAGUCUGCUCUUAUCGUUCAAGAGUCCACGGGUAUUGUUUGCCAAAUGCGCCGGAGGGCUGAGGGCAAUCGAUGGAACAAAUGACAAUGUCGUUGAUUUUUCGGAAGCACUCAAAGCCCACACAUGAAUAUUCUCUGGUACCUCAGCUCUGAUAAAGCAAAAUAUUUCCAAAAAUUCUGCGUCAACUCAUAAAAGACGAGGAAACCCUUCCGCAGCGCAAAUGGUAAUUUCCGCCUAAAUACCCCCAUUACAUAAGAAACGAAAAUUAUGCAGAAAAAAAUGCUCAAAAACUUACGUAUAACGGAACUCUGUUUUUUGGAGGUGCCACAAGCAAUGUCCUGCACUGUCCGGCUUGCCGACUCACAACGAGUCCAUGUCUCACAGCAUUUUGUAUCGCGAACAUUUUGCCUCACCAAUUAUCAAGAAAAUUUGCAGAGAAAAUUCGAUGCGGGGGUCUUGAGCGAGUACAGGACAGCGGAGUACUCUACAUCCGGAAGAUGAACUCGCUCGGUCCAAUAACUCGGAGGUCAACUGUACAACUCCAUUCAAAACAUGGCCUAGUACAGCCCCCAAAAGCCUCCACUCACAAUUGAAAAAUGCACAAGGAAUAUUACACGAACUUAUUCAUGAAUAACAAAAAAUUGGAAAAAUCUUCUACAUCUGGACUGAGUUACGUAGCGUUCAUUCCAAAAAUAGGGAAUCAUGUUAUAUAUAUACAGAAUGCACCCACGGCGCAUCCGCAAAGCGGCUGUAAUUCUACGUGUAUCAAAUUCUAUGUGUAAUAAAUAUUGAAUCUUGAAAAAAUA